rnacentral:rRNA from 1 species
UACGUAGGGGGCAAGCGUUGUCCGGAUUUAUUGGGCGUAAAGAGCGUGUAAGCGGCUUGGUAGGUCUCGCGUCAAAACCUGAGGCUCAACCUCCAGUUCGCGUGGGAAACCACCUAGCUAGAGUCCGGAAGAGGAGAACGGAAUUCCCAGUGUAGCGGUGAAAUGCGCAGAUAUUGGGAAGAACACCAGUGGCGAAGGCGGUUCUCUGGGACGGUACUGACGCUGAGACGCGAAAGCGUGGGGAGCGAACGAGG